CUGUGGCUUGCCCAGCUGCAGCAGCAGCCCUGCUCUGCUGGCUGCCCUCUGCCAGGGUAGAGGAGUUGGCCAAGCCAUGGUGGCUGCCCUGACAGAAAGCAUGGUCACCCCACUAUCCCCAUGGCUGCCCCAGCCAGCCCAUUGUUAUUAAAAUCAUUUCUGUGGAUAUGCUUCCAUGUAACUUGGUCCUUUAGCCACCAUCAGUUUGAAGUGCUGUCCAGUGGUGACUGUUUACCCUGUCUGUUGAUAUCACUGCCCAUGGGCACUCACAGCCCAUGGAAAUGGGUAGAGAAAAGUCUUGAUGGGGCAACAUGGCAGCUGGGAGGGCAGAAGACAUCGUUGGAGUCAGAGAGCUGGUGUGGCUGUCAUGUUUUGUUACCUGUUUGUCAAAGGAACAGCACCAGUGUCGUACAACACUUUGGAUGCAAAUAAGAGAAAGGAUGCGUGCUUUGGAUUGGUAAAUGGAGCCUCUGUGUUUGCUGUGACCUCUUCUUCCUCAGCUGAUUGUGGAUCAUAACGAUUGCUGCCAUUUGGACAGGAAUAAUUAAUGAGAUAAGUGUAGGUUAGUGGCUUGUGAGCAGCCAAGGGCAAGGCUGCCUGUCCAUUUCAGCUCAGCCUAAACCAUGGGGGCACUUCCUUCCUGAGUCAAUAGUGAUCCUGUAAUGCUAACAAAAGACCCCCAUUGAUCAUUGCCCUCUGGUAAUUGCUGCCAGUGUGAGCCUGCCUCUCACAACUUGUUGACAUCUCUGGACAAUUUAACUCAGCCCCUUAAAAAGGUCUUUGCAAAAGAAGCAGGCUGAGGUCUGUAACAGAGUAGGUCAGGAAUGUAAGGACAAAUGAGAUUCUUCCCCAAAGAUGCCAGGGCAGGGUAUACAUGGAGCUCCAAAGAUCAAGAUGUUUUUACGGUGUUACAGGAGUAACACUCCUGUCUCCAUGUCUAGAAUCAGUGCUAUUUUACUUCUGAUUUAUCUCACUGGGACACCUGGCCAAAAAAAGUGACAUUCCUUUUUCACAGGGAUUUGCAUGUGUGCAUGCAGAAUACCGGCUUUGGCUUGAACCAAACAUAAACCAAACCAACAUUUUUGGGGGAAACUCUACCCUUCUCAAAGCUGGGGGUUUCCCAUGUUCUUUGUUUGAAGGUGUUCUCAGGAGUUUCACUGGGAGUUAAUUGCCUGGUUAUGGAGAGCUGGUGUGAGCUCUGUGGUACAUAUACUUGCUUUGACAUUUAUUUUCAUGUUGUCCUGGAUUUGUCUGUACCCUGCUUGUAAACAGACUUUCUGGGAAAGACUGGAGAUAAAGGCCUUAUUUUUCAGAAACGUUCUGAGGAAUCGAGGCAGAGGCUGCAAGAACUUUGGCUUGGCAUGAACAGAUGCCUUGGAUGAAACAUUCUGGAUACGAAGAAAUUACCCAUCAGCUCUAUCAUCUUGCUUCCUUGAUGUCAUAGAGACUUCUGUCUCUUACACAUUCUUCAGGAAAACCAAAGAACAAAGUAUUAUUUCAAGUGAAAUUCACCAUUGGUUGCUGGAAAAAGAAGAUUGAAAGAAAAUAAAUCCAGUGAGAAGCACCCCUGUGACUCCUGCACAGAAGCAGCAUGGGGACAACAGCUUCAUUCAAUGGCUCUGGGAUGGAGAGGGGUGCCCCAGGGAACAGUGGUCAAGACAGACUUGGAAGACCAGUCUACACUAGAUGCUGUCAUGAAGGAAGCAUAGGUCCAUGAUGUCAUUCCAGCUUGGGGGAUGGAAGAUUGAUCACAGAGGAAAUAAAUUUCUUACUCAAAUUUGGGAGCUGGGUUUUUCAUGGAAAUUACACAUGCUCUUUUUCCUUCUGCAUUAGCUGGUAAUGCAGCCCUCCAGCAACUGAUGGUUGUCUUGCAUCUGAUGUGUAGGUUUGGUGUGCUAGUAACACUAGAUGACACUUCACCCUUUACAAUAUCGUUGAAUCGAUAAAUGUAGACCUUGUUUAUUAAGUACAGCUGACAUUGUCUUGCCAAGGACUCAUGUAAAACAGAUCUGGGUAAUACUGUGGUUCAGUAAUGACAGCUUAUAUUAAAAGAGAAGCAUAAGGCUGAAGCUUUACCACAGGAUAUUGGUUUUCUACACAUUCUAGCAGGGUAAGAUCAGUGUCUCAUCUUGCCAGUAUGGGCAAACUGAGUAAUACACUAUGUGCUUCAUGGAGAUCUUUUGAAGGAUGCUGGAAAACUAAGGGAUUUUUUCAGCUGCCAGAGUUCCUGAAGCAAUUUUGGGAAGAGAUGCCCCAGUACCCAUGGCCAUUAUCUUCCGUGCCUUCCCUCUUGCACUGUUUCUUGGUGAACUGGUACCAUCUAUCCACCAGAUGCAGCCCCUUCAAGCGAUAUUUAGACAAAGGCUUGUUAAGGAGAGAGGUGCCUUGCUCUGUAAUAUCUUAAGUGGGGUGUUGGGGUCCCUCCCCUGCCGUGUAGCCCUGGGAGAGGGGCCCUGAGGGCACAGACACGGGGUUUCCCUGCCCCUGCUCAGCCUCGUUCCCGUUGGUUGGUUUGUGUUCCCUGCGCGGGCAGAAGGACCCUUGGUCCCGUGACUGUAACAGUUCCUCGGCAGAGCUCCGGCCAUGCGGCUGGAGAAAUAAACAUCUCUGAAACAUCUAGCAAGAAUCUGUCUGUCCAUAUAUAUUUCCUUUCCACGGGACUCCUGGUUUGAUAUAUGCGUGUUGCAGGAUCCCCACUGCAACAAAUGGUGGAGAAUUGAGAGCAGAACGAUCCCCGAUCCCUAAGCGACUGAUUUGUGUGAGUAAACCCUGGAAACUUUGGAUUCCUCUUCUUGGUUUUGCUU
rnacentral:lncRNA from 13 species